CCAGUUCUCAAAAGUUUGCUUUGACUUGACAAGUUGUCCCCUCUCCUGCAGGAGGGACCACAUCACUGAGGUUCACACUGUAACUAUACCUUCAACUCCAAAGAACACUGUCUGCGAAGCAAAUUUCUGCUCUGUGGUGGCAAACCCUAAGCCACAGUACAAGCCGGAGGAUAUAGAGCUGUUGCAUGCUGAGAACUGGGGUGGACCAAGAAAUAUAUUACAACUACGUACAGAGAACAAGCAGAAGUCGGUAGCACUCAGCCAUGUAGAUCCUGCCUCCUCUUUGGAAACAAAAACGUAUUUUGAAAUACACAGACUUACAGCAGCAAUAGUGCAAAGGAAAUUCAGAGAACUCUCAAAAGCGACACUGAAGCACUUUAGCAAUGAACUCCAGGUCAGUAUUUUCAAGCUGAACCUCCAUCAAUCUUUUCCUAAACAAGCAGCCUCUGUAGACCACUACAGAAGUCAAGUGGGUUUUGCAGGAGUUCAGGUCCAGAUGGAGAGACUCUUCUGGAAGGACCAAACACAGAGGUUUAGAUGCCUCUGAACCAAUCAGAUCUGAGGAUGACUUCUGAUUCCUGCAGCUUCCCUCGCUGGCUGACAGAUGGACCCUGCAGAGCUACGAGAUGUUUUCCAAAGGCCAUCGCAACAGCUGUGGCCCCACAACUGAUCUUCAAAAACAAUUUCAGGGUUUGAGUUUUUCCUUAUUCAGUGUUCUCAUUUAUGCUCCCCACUGAGUCUAUUAUUUCAUGUCAUUAAAUCCAUAAACCAUGAAAGGUUGAAGGGCAACAGCAGUUUUUAAAAAGCAGUGUUGUGAUAACUUCACUCUCACAGACAUGCUGUGAAUGAUGAAGGACUGCUUAUCUCUAAAAAAUAUUAGCGUAUAGCGAAGUGUACGCUCAUUUUCUAGCUUGCUAGCUAGGCAAAAAAGACA